CCUACGGGUGGCUGCAGUGGGGAAUAUUGGACAAUGGGCGCAAGCCUGAUCCAGCAACGCCGCGUGGAGGACGAAGGUCUUCGGAUCGUAAACUCCUGUCAGGCGGGACGAAGGCUGCGGGGUAAACAAUCCCGUAGCUUGACGGUACUGCCAGAGGAAGCCCCGGCUAACUCCGUGCCAGCAGCCGCGGUAAUACGGAGGGGGCGAGCGUUAUUCGGAAUUAUUGGGCGUAAAGGGCGCGUAGGCGGCCCGGUAAGUCAAAGGUGAAAUCCCUC
rnacentral:rRNA from 1 species